GACGAACGCUGGCGGCGUGCCUAAUACGUGCAAGUAGAACGCUGAAGAGAGGAGCUUGCUCUUCUUGGAAGAGUUGCCAACGGGUGAGUAACGCGUAGGUAACCUGCCUUGUAGCGGGGGAUAACUAUUGGAAACGAUAGCUAAUACCGCAUAACAAUGGAUGACCCAUGUCAUUUAUUUGAAAGGGGCAACUGCUUCACUACAAGAUCGACCUGCGUUGUAUUAGCUAGUGGGUGAGGUAACGGCUCACCUAGGCGACGAUACAUAGCCGACCUAAGAGGGUGAUCGGCCGCACUGGGACUGAGACACGGCCCAGACUCCUACGGGAGGCAGCAGUAGGGAAUCUUCGGCAAUGGGGGCAACCCUGACCGAGCAACGCCGCGUGAGUGAAGAAGGUUUUCGGAUCGUAAGGCUCUGUUGUAAGUCAAGAACGAGUGUGAGAGUGGAAAGUUCACACUGAGACGGUAGCUUACCAGAAAGGGACGGCUAACUACGUGCCAGCCGCCGCCGUAA
rnacentral:rRNA from 1 species